UACGUAGGGGGCAAGCGUUGUCCGGAAUCAUUGGGCGUAAAGAGCGUGUAGGCGGUUCGGUAAGUCGGCUGUGAAAGUCCAGGGCUCAACCCUGGGAUGCGGGUGGAUACUGCCGGGCUCGAGUCCGGAAGAGGCGAGUGGAAUUCCCGGUGUAGCGGUGAAAUGCGCAGAUAUCGGGAGGAACACCAAUGGCGAAGGCAGCUCGCUGGGACGUGACUGACGCUGAGACGCGAAAGCGUGGGGAGCAAACAGG
rnacentral:rRNA from 1 species